AAAUUAAAAUGACAUCUAUUUGACAACGUGCAAAUGGCUAGGUAACACGAAAAUUCAAUUGUAGUUGUUUAUAAAUUGGAAUAAUUACGUUUAGUGUGUUUGUUCAGUUGCUGGCUUGUUACAUUGCAUAUUAUAUUCGCUAUGUGUGGUUUCUCCUCAUUAUCUGUUAACAACUACUUUAUGCUCAAGGCUAAAUUUAAGUAACAGUCGUUACCGUUUCAUCAUCAAACAUUAUGUAUUGUAUCAAAGAAAAUAGCAACGGGAUCAACGUUAAUUGUGUUUUAUACAAAACGAGUAAACAUGUCCGUACUGAGCAGCGUAAUCGACAAUCAACGUAUGCAAAAUAUAAGAAAUGAAUUUGGAAGACUUGGUGACAAAUGCUACUUAGAAAAUGCAGGAACAGCAUUAUAUCCACAGACACUCUUGACAAAAAUAAAUGACGAUCUCCAAAGAAAUGUCUACUUCAACCCACAUUCAGACAAACAUACAAAAGACUGUAUAGAACAAAUAAGAUGUACUGUUUUGAACCAUUUCAAUACAGAUCAAUCAACAUACAGUUUGAUAUUCACAUCUGGCACAACACAGGCCCUAAAACUGGUACUUGAGUCAUUCCAAUUCCACAGUGAAGAUGAAGACGAAAAUGAUAAAGCCAAUGGUUCUUUUAUUUAUCUGAGAGACAAUCAUACCUCUGUGAUUGGUUUGCGUGAGUUAGCUAAAGCGAAGAAUGCAGAUAUCAUCCAUAUAUCACAUGAUGACUUUCUGAAUGCCUUGAAGCCCUGUGAAAAUCCCAAAAUCCAUCAUUCCGAGACAGAAAAAAAGAAAAGUAAUGCACUGUUAGCAUACUCAGCACAGAGCAAUUUUAAUGGCUAUAAGUAUCCAAUAGACUGUGUGCAGGAAAUUCAAAAUGGUUGUCUCAAUGGUUAUUUGAAGAAACAGUUGUGUGAAGUUAUCUGUAAUUGGUAUGUUUUGUUGGACGCAGCAUCAUUUGUGGCUACGAGUAAACUUGAUUUGUCAGUCACCCAACCUGAUUUUGUGUGCUUUUCAUUUUACAAAAUAUUUGGAUUCCCAUCUGGAUUGGGAGCAUUGCUAGUUAAGAACUCUAGUAUGGAUGUCCUAAAGGAAAAAAAAUACUUUGGUGGUGGUACAGUGGAUAUUGUUCUCAGCAGUGAAGACUUUCAUGUCAAAAGAAAGGCUUUUUACGAAAGGUUUGAAGAUGGAACUUUACCAUUUUUAUCCAUCAUUGCGCUUAAACAUUGCUUUAGUGUAAUGUCAUGCUUAAUACCCAAAGUAAUAAACAAUGAUAUAAUGGAAACAUUAUCGCACCAUACUUUUUAUUUAGCUAAAGAUCUAUAUAAGCAACUUUGUGAACUUGAACACUCAAAUGGUACCAAGGCAGCUGUCUUGUAUAUGGAUUCUGAUUUUACUGAUAUCAAGAGACAAGGAGGUAUUGUUACAUUUAAUCUGAUAAGGGAAGAUGGAACAUACAUAGGAUAUGCAGAGUUUCAGCACAUGGCAGACCUGUUUAACAUUAGUUUAAGAACUGGAUGCUUUUGCAAUUCAGGAUCAUGUCAAAGACAUUUAAAUAUUACAAAUAAAGAAAUGAAGAGCAUGCACAAAGCUGGUCAUAAAUGUGGAGAUGAAGUGGACUUAGUAAAUGGCAGGCCCACUGGAGCUGUGAGAGUCUCAUUCGGGUACCACAAUACUUUCAAUGACAUUGAUAAGUUAGUUUCAAUGAUAACCAAAUGUUUCGUGAGACAACAGACUCUUAAUAACCAAAAACCAAAGAGACAUUUAAUAAAUCAUAAUAAUAACGAAGUAGAAGUUGUCAAAACAAAUACAGCAAAGUUUAAAGAAGAAAUACUAUCUGUUCUAAAUGAAAAUAAUUUGAGACAUACAACCCCUGAAAUAUUCAAUACUGGGUCGAAUGCAACUUUGUCUGAAAUAGCAAUAUUUCCAAUCAAAUCAUGUGGUGCUUUUAAAAUAAAAUCUGAUUGGAAAAUUGGCCCCAAAGGGUUUGAAUAUGAUAGAGAGUGGAUGAUUGUCAAGGACAAUGGGGUGUGUCUUACGCAAAAACAAAAUACGGAAAUGUGUAUGAUUCUGCCUGCUAUUGAUUUAAAACACAGGCAUCUUACAUUAAAUUUCAAAGGCUCUGCAAUCUCAAUACCUCUAGAUGUUUCACUUAGUGAUAAAUACAUAGAAAGAUCUACUGCUCCAUUUUGCCAGAGUAAAGUCUGCACAGACAUUGUUAAAGGCUAUGAUUGUGGAGAUGCAGUCGCCGACUGGAUAUCAAAUGCUUUAGGUAUCUCUUAUUUACGAUUGAUAAGACAAGCAGAUGAUGAUAAAAGAAUCCAAAAGAAAAAAAAUGGCGAAGAAAAGAGUCUGCUUUCGUUAAGCAAUCAAGCCCAAUUCCUCUUAAUAAACAAAGCAACAGUUAAAUGGUUGAAAAGCAAAAUUAAAGAUUCAAUGUUUAUGGAUGAUUUGAAUUCUUUAACCGACAGAUUUAGAGGAAAUUUAGUUGUUGAUACAGCACAUGAGCUUAUAGAGAGGGAGUGGCAGAUGGUGGUUAUUGGAAAUCAUAAAUUCAAGGUAGAGGGCCCAUGCUCGCGAUGUCAGAUGAUAUGCAUAGACCAAAAAACUGGGGAAAAGACAGUUGAACCAUUGAGGACUAUCUCCGAAGAAUUUGGCGGUAAAAUGCGAUUCGGCAUAUACUUGAGCUAUCUAGGACCCGUGAAUGGGUGCAAGGAUUUUAUUUUGCAUACUAAUUCUCAAGUGUUGCCUUAUUUAAGCGAUGAUAAUAUUAGCAGAUAAAUUUUAGCACGUUAUUAAGCUUUUGUAGUAGGUACAGUUCGUUUCUUGUUAAAAGACCGUUAACACUGUACCUGCGCAGUAGGCGACAUCGAUCGAAAUGAGAGGCGCCGGGCGAUUGCUGGCUCGUGAUUGGCUCAUUAAUCAACACUUUAUUAUAUUUAUUAUAUAUAAUAUAUAGUAUGUAUACCAAGUAUGUCAAUACGCUGACAUCCGCUCCGUCGUCCAGCGUUCUUUUUAUCGGAAACCAACUGUACAUAUGAAAUGUUCCUAAAUAAUGGCUGUUUCCAUAUUAUUAUUUAGUAUUUACUAAAGUCCUUAUAACUAGGUAACUAAAUGAUCGCGCGUUCUUGUACGACUUAGCAAUAUGGCAUCAAUGUAUUGCACCAUUAGCUCAAAUAUUUAUGACGCGCGAUUGGAGCGCCUCUCCUACGCUCCAUGGUGUCAAGAAUGCCUUCACACAAUUUCCUAGCUGUAUACAUGUUUGGUAUUAAUUAUGAUCAAGUAUUCAGGAUGAUUGUACAUUGAAGCAGAGAGAUGUGGACUAAUAAUGUGUGCAUUUCAACCAAGAUCAUCAGCUAUCAACAAAUAAUUUGUGGCCUACGAACUCCACUUUUGUGUACAGACUACAGACAUCUUAAAACUAAGAUAAUUUUGAUUAAUAAUGGUUUAUUACUACAUUCAAUAUAUGCUGCUAAUGCAUAAUUUAAUCAAAAGGUUUGGCAAUUCUAAUGAGAUUAAAAAUUUUAAGUAAAUAUAUAACCAGAAACCCCAUCUUGUUACCUCAAGAUCCAUUUAAGAUAAAAGUUUAUUUUAAUUAAUUUUAAUUAACUGAUAAAACAUAUUCUACCAUAAGACAAUGUUAUUAUUCGCUUCCACUUUACAGCAUCAUUUGAUAUUUAAGACUGAUAUGGUAUUCAUGAGUCUCCACUGAAAUUAUCUUUAACUAAAUGAUUCCCAUAAUUUUGUCUGUGUGUAAUAAGAUUUUUAACAAUAUUUUAUAAUAUUGUAAUCUAUUUACAAGCUUGAAAUAUUAGGUGUGUGGUUUUAUUUUUAUCUUUGGAUUUUUAAAUGUUAUGGUGAUUUAUUACAUACAUAUACACUGUUGCAGUUGUAAAUUGAAUAAUUAAUAUAAUAUGUUAUUAGUAAUGGGGUAAUAUUAUUUUGAACAUCAAGUUUAUUUGUUUGUUAAAAUGAGUAGGUAAAUAUGGUAAGCCACUUUUGAUAUUUCACAAAAGUUCCAACUUGCUUUGGCAGCCACAUUGUCUUAAAAAAACCGGCCAAGUGCGAGUCAGACUCACGCACCGAGGGUUCUGUACUACAGAAGUAAAACGGUAAGAAUCAUUUUUGUCAUCAUUUCUGUACCGCAAAAUAACUUUGUAAAGGUUUAUUGUUAAUAUCAAAAAACCUGAUUCAUUUUUCUGUAAAAUAUACAUAAACUUCUAUUGUAGAUAAUUAUUUCAGUCAGUAACUACUAAUUUUUUUUAACAUUUGGCAAGAUAAAUCAAAAACUAUAAUGCAUAAAAAUCUAUUUUACAAUGUACAGGUAAAGCCCUUUCAUAAUGAUACCACACUUGUUACAGUUAUAUUAGGUACUUUGAAAAUACUCCUUUGUUCAUAAACACAUUUUUGUGACCACAAAUUCACGGUUUUCAGAUACUUUUCCUUUACUUGUGCUACAAGAUCUACCCACCUGCUAAAUUUCAUGAUUCUAGGUCAAUGGGAUGUACCCUGCAGGUUUUCUUGACUGACGGACAUACAACAAAGUAAAUAAUAAAUAAAGUGAUCCUAUAAGGGUUUUUGAGUAUGGAACACUAAAAAAAUUGAAUUCUAUAAGUAAUAUUAUCAUAGAUGGUUUAUUACAGGCCUAAAACACCAUUAAGUAGCUAUUACCAUUGUAUAUUCUUAACCAACUGAAGAGCAGCACCAUACGGUUGUUUGAUAUUUUUUCAACCCAUACAUUUUAGCAACUGUCAAAAGUGGCUUAGUAAAAUACCUAUACUUAAGUAGUUAAUUCUUUACAUUUUUAAGUUAAUGGUGUAAUAUUUUAUUAAAUGUUAUGAUAAAGCACA